AUUGAACGCUAGCGGGAUGCCUUACACAUGCAAGUCGAACGGAGUGGCGAACGGGUGAGUAAUGUAUCGGAACGUGCCCAGUAGCGGGGGAUAACUACGCGAAAGCGUAGCUAAUCCCGCAUACUAUUGGAGCGGCCGAUAUCGGAUUAGCUAGUUGGUGGGGUAACGGCUCACCAAGGCGACGAUCCGUAGCUGGUUUGAGAGGAAGACCAGCCAAACGGGGACUGAGACACGGCCCAGACUCGUACGGAAGGAAGCAGUGGGGAAUUUUGGACAAUGGGGGAAACCCGGAUACAGCCAUCCCGCGUGUGAGAUGAAGGCCUGCGGGUUGUAAAGCACUUUUGGCAGGAAAGCGGUACCUGAAGAAGAAGCACAGGCUAACUACGUGCCAGCAGCCGCGGUAAGAC
rnacentral:rRNA from 1 species